UACGGGGGGGGCAAGCGUUGUUCGGAAUUACUGGGCGUAAAGGGCUCGUAGGCGGCCAACUAAGUCAGACGUGAAAUCCCUCGGCUUAACCGGGGAACUGCGUCUGAUACUGGAUGGCUAGAGUUUGGGAGAGGGAUGCGGAAUUCCAGGUGUAGCGGUGAAAUGCGUAGGUAUCUGGAGGAACACCGGUGGCGAAGGCGGCAUCCUGGACCAACACUGACGCUGAGGAGCGAAAGCCAGGGGAGCAAACGGG
rnacentral:rRNA from 1 species